rnacentral:tRNA from 1 species
GGCCACGUAGUUCAACUGGAUAGAAUAUCAGAUUUCGGCUCUGAGGGUUGAGGGUUCGAGUCCUUCCGUGGUCACAA